UUCGGGAAUGGCAAAUGAAUAUUACUAAGAGGAGUGGUGGUAUCCCCCCUGCUUCCAGACUACCUGUGCAGUGGUCAGCGAUGUGGGAUCACACAACACAGUGCCACAGACCCUCCCAGGAUGCUGCAGUACUCAGUGACUGUUCUUUUACUAGGUGGCGGCUGUAAACUCUGUGGCUCCGUGGAACAUUUUAAGAAAGAUUGCCCUGAAAAUCAGAACUCAGAUCGAAUCAUCACAGUUGGUCGCUGGGCAAAGGGAAUGAGUGCAGACCACGAAGAUGUUCUGGAUGUGCCCAAACCACAGAAACCUAAAACAAAAGUACCCAAAGUAGUUAAUUUUUGAUAAGAAUUGGUACAGUUGUUAAGUACCAUCUCAAGGUUACUUCCCAAAGUAGGCCUUUAGAGAUUAAAGCUGGCCCGUGUGGGGGCAAACUUGUAUUAGAGACACGACUCUGACUUUGAUGGGGGUCAGGCUGCCUGCAGUCUGUCUAUUAAGGAGUACAGAGUGAUUGAUUAUAGUCUCUAGACGUGUGUGUGUGUGUGUGUGUGUGUGUGUGUGUGUGUGUGUGGUCUGUCUGCCUGUCUCUCUGUGCCUGUGUGUCUGUCUGUAUUUGAAACAGAGUCUAUGUAGCCCAGGUUGGCUUCAGACUAAUAACUGUGCACCAGGUCCAGAGUACUGAGAUUCAGGCAGUGUGAUUGAGAGCUUUUUUUAUCAGAUGGUACUUAGAAACAGCUAAGUGCCUCUACCUGAUGGUGGCAGUCACUGCUAUAAAUGUAAAUUAUGACUCAAAAUUGACCCCUAAACAAAGCACAUGCAUUUCAGCUUGUGAAUAAAUAUUUUGUUAUAUGCUCUUAAUUCAGAGUAUCAAUUUAUUGUCAUAGAAAUUUAUAUGUUGUCACAAAAUCUGUAAUUUUUAGUGCUGAAUAAAAUUAUAUCAGCUGUUUG
rnacentral:lncRNA from 1 species